CCCUUAGAUGUUCUGGGCCGCACGCGUGCUACACUGAGUGGAUCAGCGGGUCAGGUUGCGCGAAAGUGUUUCCUAAUCUUUAAAUCUGCUCGUGAUGGGGAUUGACGGUUGCAAUUUUCCGUCAUGAACGAGGAAUACCUUGUAAGCGCGGGUCAUCAUCCCGCGCUGAAUACGUCCCUGCCCGUUGUACACACCGCCCGUCGCUCCUACCGAUUGAGUGGUCCGGUGAGGCUUUGGGAUCUGAGCGGAAAGAGCGUUUCGCUGUUUCUGCCCGGAAAACUCAGUCGAACCUUAUCAUUUAGAGGAAGGAGAAGUCGUAACA
rnacentral:rRNA from 1 species